AGAAGAUUAGCUCAAUUGGUAGAGUAUUAGUUUCCAAAACUAACGGUUAUGGGUUCAAGUCCCUUAUCUUCUG
rnacentral:tRNA from 1 species